rnacentral:rRNA from 1 species
GAUGAACGCUGGCGGCGUGCCUAAUACAUGCAAGUCGAGCGAACAGACGAGGAGCUUGCUCCUCUGACGUUAGCGGCGGACGGGUGAGUAACACGUGGAUAACCUACCUAUAAGACUGGUAUAACUUCGGGAAACCGGAGCUAAUACCGGAUAAUAUAUUGAACCGCAUGGUUCAAUAGUGAAAUACGGUUUUGCUGUCACGUAUAGAUGGAUCCGCGCCGCAUUAGCUAGUUGGUAAGGUAACGGCUUACCAAGGCAACGAUGCGUAGACGACCUGUGAGGCUGAUCGGCGACACUGGAACUGAGACACGGUCAAGACUCCUACGGGAGGCAGCAGUAGGGAAUCUUCCGCAAAGGGCGAAAGCUUGACGGAGCAACGCCGCGUGAGUGAUGAAGGUCUUCGGAUCGUAAAACUCUGUUAUUAGGGAAGAACAAAUGUGUCAGUAACUAUGCACGUCUUGACGGUAACUAAUAAGAAAGCCACGGCUAACUACGUG